UCUCGAGCUCCAUUCGCACUCCGUUCAACUAAAACCACACUCCUCUCUUCUUCCACGAGCUUCUUCUUUCGCCGCUGCCGCCGCCGCUCAACAAUGGCCGUCGUGACUUCACCUUCCUCCAGAAACCAGACGCCCUCCUUCUCGUGCUCCUUUUCCUACCCUUUUGCUUCAUACACCUCCGCCAAUUUCGCUCCCGGAGCCUCCCCUCGUCCCCACGCGCUUCUCCUCCUCCUUUGGCCAAAAUCGGCGUUUUUCUUCACCUUUUAGGUUGAGAGGAUCAGCGUUAGUAAGAGAAUAUGGUUGGCAGGGGUGGUUCGGGGACAGGCUCUGGGUGUGGCUCUGGCUCUGGCUCUGGCACUAGGUUUGUGCAGCCACAAUUCAUUGCGAGCACUGGCUCCAAUACGAAUACGCCCCUCAUUGACAACUCAGAUGUUGAUCAAGUUGUUGUGCCUGAUACCAGAAGCUGGAAAAAUCUAUUUUCUUACACAGAAUUUGGAUCGGUGUUUUAAUCAUGAGAUGUGCUUAUUUCUGAAGUGCUGGCACCUUUGCAGAGCAUACUCUUUCGGCUGCUCUCAAGGCUGGCAAACAAAUAUAGGAUGAGAGAGAUGAGGAAAUCACAGCCCUUCGUGUGGAAAUUUAGGUAAUUUUUGAAGAAAGCAUGCAUUUCUUUCCAUAGUUAGAUUACUAUAUCUUGCUUUUCAGGGCUAUGCAUUGUAACUGUUACUGCAGGUUAGAUUCUUCUUUUCAGGGCUAUGCAUUGUAACUGUUUUUUAUUAUAUCUUGCUUAUAAAGGGUUUAACAUUGCAAUGCUUGUAACUGUUCAUUAUGUUACAAUAUUGGAUUCAUUGUUUGAAAUUUGGGGAAAGAAAGAUGGGCCUCACGGUAAUAUUUCUCAUGGACUAAUAUUUUUAUGGUAUAUUCUUGAAAACGAUUACUUUGAAUGCACUUCUCCUGCAGAUAGAAGCGCUUCUUGCUUUCGAUCACUUGCUUUCUCUCUGAUGUUCUUCACAUGAAUCAUGAUCAAGAUUCAAAUGAAGAAGUUGGCACUUCAAAGAGAUCAUCAUCAUCAAUGGGUGAAAGUAGCAAAUCAAGCUAUAGAAGAAGGGUGUUGCAUUGUGUUCUGAGUCCAAUUUCAAUGAAGAGAUCAUUCUCAAGUGGAAGAUUCUCUCUUAGUGGAAGAAAUGGCAGGGGAAGGCAGGGGAUUUUACCUUUAUGAUGAGAAGUGUCUCAUUUUUAUUUUUUUUUAUGUUAAUUUCAAUUCUCUUUCUGAUAUAGUAUAUGAUGAUGAUUGAAGAGGAGAUUGACCAAUUUUGUGUGUGAAGAUCUUAAUGCUAGAUAUGAUUGAAUCUUUAUAUGUACAGAAAAAUCUUUAUCAAACAAUAUUUCAGUUUACAAUGUAAAAUUACAUUGAUGUGUAUUCGUGUAGUACUUAUGUUACAAGACUUUUGUGUGUUAAACUGUGUUAAAUUAUAGAGAUGCUGACUCUUACAGGUUGAUUUUCUAUGCUUGUUGCUUGUGUUGUUGUCAUUGUGUUUUUUAAGUCUUUUGUUGUGAAUCAUGCUUCUUUCGUUCUCUUUGGUAUUCUUAUCUUUCAAUUUGAAUUUUAUUUAUGUAUAUUGUUUUAAAACAACAUGCACCAUUAAUGGAUAAUGUCAUAGAUAUUAUGAAGGUGGCAUUUCAUCAGUUUAUGUAUGGGAAGAUGACAAUGAUGGUUUCGUGGCUUGCUUUCUGAUAAAGAAAGAUGGUUCAAAGACAGAGCAAGGUUGCCGGGGCUAUCUAGAGGAAGGAGCAUGGGAUGCUAUACAUGUUAUAGAGGGUAAGCCUCCUGAUUGGCAAGACUUUGUUGGUAUUAUCACUUUGCUUGUCAUCAAUUCAACCAUCAGUUUCAUAGAGGAGAACAAUGCUGGUAAUGCUGCUGCAGCUCUCAUGGCUCGUCUCGCUCCGAAAGCAAAGGUGAAGUUGUCUGGAUCAAUUAGCAGUCAAUACUUGACUGCAUUGCUCAUGACAGCUCCUUUCGCCCUUGGUGAUGUUGAAAUUGAGAUUAUCGAUAAACUGAUUCCUGUUCCUUACGUUGAUAUGACUUUGAAACUGAUGAGCGCUUUGGAGUCCAUGUGGAGCACAGUGGUAACUGAGAUAGGUUUUUGGUCCACGGAGGUCAAAAGUACAAGUCUCCUGGGAAUGCUUUUGUUGAAGGAGAUGCUUCUAGUGCCAGCUACUUCCUCGCAGGUGCAGCUGUUACCGGUGGGACUAUCACAGUUGUAGGCUGCGGCACAAGUAGUUUACAGAAUCAUCCUGCUGUUGUUGUGCCUAGGCUUCCUGCUGGUUUGAAUUUGCUUAGCCCAGUCAGGAGAUGUCAAGAUUAACUUUCAAUGUGGAGCUUGAUGCUGCUAAUGCAACUUAGUUAUCUAUUAAUAUUUUAGAUUAUUCUAUCUUUAAGUGCUAAGUGUAAUUUGUGACAUUCAUGUAACAUUGGGAUGGUCAUCUUAUUUUUUUUUGGUAUUUUUUUAUUAAGACAAUGAGAUAUUGGCCAAUGAUGUUGAAAAAUAACAUCCAAUUUUAUAGGUAUCAUGUAAUGAAUAUUAUGUUUAUUUAUGUGAUUUUUGGCUUUCUUUUUUCAA